GCCAGAGAUUGAACUCGGGGCACUUGACCACUGAGCCACAUUCCCAGCCCUUUUAUGUAUUUUAUUUGGAGACGGGGUCUCACUGAGUUGCGUAGCACCUUGCUGUUGCUGAAGCUGGCUUUAAACUUGGGAUCCUCCUGCCUCAGUCUCCUGAGCCACUGAGAUUAUAGGCUUAUACCACCACACCCAGCCUCAGGCAAUUUGUAUUGACUACUUGUUCGAAUAUAUGGGCCAUAACUUCUUGUUUCUUUGUAUGUUUUAUGAUUUUUUUAUUGAAAAGUAGACUUUUUUUUUAAUGGACAGAAUGCCUUUAUUUGUUUUUAUGUGGUGCUUAGGAUCAACCCAGUGCCUCAGAUAUGCUAGGCAAGUUCUCUGCCACCGAGCCCCAGCCCCAACCUGAAAAGUAGACUUUCAGUUAAUGAAGUGUAGCAACUCUGGGGUGAGACUCUCCCUUUCCCCAGCAUUUGUUGCUAUUUUUUGGCCUGGUGAUUUUCCUGAACUAAUCUGUAAAGCCUGUGUUCUUUUUUGGUGACCACUGCAGUCUCUGUUCAGUUAGUUUAGUCAGGGGAUAGAGCGAAAACCUCUGGGUCUAAAACCAGUAAGUCUCCCAGUCUCCCAGGGCCUCUGUGUGUUAGGACACACCUUCAGCCCAGACAGUAGUGGGCAGCCCUACUUCAUCCUUCACUUCCUGCUAAUGCCUCACCUCAAGGUCAGCCAGAGGUGACCACUUAGGGCCUCUAGGGUCCAUGGAGUGUCUGCAUAGCUCUAGCUUUACACAUACACAUGGCUUCCAGAUUCCUAGGGACACACAGGCCUUCUCAGGGUCCCUCAUGAUUCCUCCUUUACCCGCUGUUCCUUUUGUUGUUGUCGCUGUUGUUGCUGUUGGGGUUGGGGGUUUGUUUGUACAUUUUGGUUCCCCGGAAGUGCUUAACCAUUGAGCCACAUGCUCAGCCCUUUUUAUUUUGAGGCAGGGUCUCCCUAAGUUGCUGAAACUGGCUGAACUUGUGCUCCUCCUGGGAUUACAAGUGUGUGCCACCAUUCCCAGCUCAGCGUUCCCUUCUGUUGUCUGGUUAGCUAGUAUUAUAUGUGCUUUGAGCAGCCACAUCCUUUAAAAGUCACCCCUGGGUGUUCCAACAAACACUCCCAAGGGAAACACUCCCUGGGAGAGCUUCUAGCCUGGUCAGAGCCCUCCCUGCACGUGGGGUCUUCCAGGGAGCUGCCCUCAUAGGCUUUAAAGCAGCUGCAGGCCCGCCCACACCCCUGCUUCCCCACUGUGGGUGCAGCCCUUGGUCCAAGGCUG
rnacentral:lncRNA from 1 species